rnacentral:rRNA from 1 species
AGUGAACGCUGGCGGUAGGCCUAACACAUGCAAGUCGAACGGCAGCACAGGAGAGCUUGCUCCCUGGGUGGCGAGUGGCGGACGGGUGAGGAAUACAUCGGAAUCUACCUUCUCGUGGGGGAUAACGUAGGGAAACUUACGCUAAUACCGCAUACGACCUACGGGUGAAAGUGGGGGACCGCAAGGCCUCACGCGAUUAGAUGAGCCGAUGUCCGAUUAGCUAGUUGGCGGGGUAAUGGCCCACCAAGGCGACGAUCGGUAGCUGGUCUGAGAGGAUGAUCAGCCACACUGGAACUGAGACACGGUCCAGACUCCUACGGGAGGCAGCAGUGGGGAAUAUUGGACAAUGGGCGCAAGCCUGAUCCAGCCAUACCGCGUGGGUGAAGAAGGCCUUCGGGUUGUGAAGCCCUUUUGUUGGGAAAGAAAUCCUAUCGGUUAAUAACCGGUGGGGAUGACGGUACCCAAAGAAUAAGCACCGGCUAACUUCGUGCCAGCCGCCGCCGUAACAC